rnacentral:tRNA from 1 species
GGGGAAAUAGCUCAAUGGAUAGAGCGCGCAUGGAGCGAUUCACGAUUAUGGCCAUGUCGAUGCCGGUUCGAGUCCGGCUUUCCUCC